rnacentral:rRNA from 1 species
UACGAAGGGGGCUAGCGUUGCUCGGAAUCACUGGGCGUAAAGGGUGCGUAGGCGGGUCUUUUAAGUCAGGGGUGAAAUCCUGGAGCUCAACUCCAGAACUGCCUUCGAUACUGGAGAGCUCGAGUCCGGGAGAGGUGAGUGGAACUGCGAGUGUAGAGGUGAAAUUCGUAGAUAUUCGCAAGAACACCAGUGGCGAAGGCGGCUCACUGGCCCGGUACUGACGCUGAGGUGCGAAAGCGUGGGUAGCGAACAGG